UGUUCCGAGAUUGGGCUGGC
rnacentral:miRNA from 1 species